GAUGAAGAACGUAGCGAAAUGCGAUAAGUAAUGUGAAUUGCAGAAUUCAGUGAAUCAUCGAAUCUUUGAACGCACAUUGCGCCCGCCAGUAUUCUGGCGGGCAUGCCUGUUCGAGCGUCAUUUCAACCCUCGGGCCCCCAGUGCCUGGUGUUGGGGAUCGGCCCAGCCUUCCUGUAAGGCCGCCGGCCCCGAAAUCUAGUGGCGGUCUCGCUGUAGUCCUCCUCUGCGUAGUAGCACAACCUCGCAGUUGGAACGCGGCGGUGGCCAUGCCGUUAAACACCCCACUUCUGAAAGUUGACCUCGGAUCAGGUAGGAAUACCCGCUGAACUUAAGCAUAUCAAUAAGCGGAGGA
rnacentral:misc_RNA from 1 species